GCAGGACAAAGGUAAGUCCGUACUUAAUGUCAACACAAAUAUUUAGAAAAGUUUUAAAAAUGAUGUAGUGAACUGACUGUAGUCUCUUGUUUUUACAUUAGGUAUAGCCUGUGGCUGAGGGAUCAGAGGUGAGGUGCUUUACACUUGUCCUCUCCCAGCAUUCAGCACUUCAGACACUCAACGUCCAAGACGGAGCUAACAAAGAGAGAUACUCCACCCAGAAGACAGCCUUACCCCAGCCCGAUGAGAAGGAUGGAUGACCAAAUGACAAACUGGAGAGUGGUGCUGUGUUCCAGCUAUGGAAGCUGAGAGUGGACAGAGCUGCACAGAGGACCAACGAUCCACUCUCAGCACUUCAUACCUGACUGGCCACAGC